rnacentral:lncRNA from 1 species
AAAUAAAAAGGAUAUUUUGACUGAAAUAUUGUUUAAAACUUAAUAUUUAAAUCUUAAAUUUUGUGUUUUAUUUUUAUAGUGUGAUCAUAUAACAAUAAUUUUUAUAGGUACAAGUCCAAAACUUACAUAAGUUUUUACAGAUCUUUGUAAUAAUUUCUUUGCUAUCGUGUAACAAAAAUAUAGGUAUACAUCCUUUGAUUGUGCUUUGCUUUAUUGUACUUUGCAAAUAUUGCACUUUUACAAAUUGAAUGUUUGCAGCAACCUUGAGUCGAGCAAGUCUGUGAGUGUCAUUUUUUCAAGUGCAUGCACACACUUCAUGUCUCUGUCACAUUUUGGUAAUUCUCAUAAUAUUUUAAACUUUUCACUAUUAUUGUAACUGUUAUGGUGAACUAUGAUAAGUGAUCCUGAUGUUACUAUUGUAAUUGUUCUAUUUUUGUUUGCUUGUUUGAGAUGGGAUCUUGCUCUGUCACUCAGAGUUGGAGUGCAGUGGCACAAUCAUAGCUCAUUGCAACACUGAACUCCUGGACCUCAAUGAUCCUUCUGUAUCAGCCUCCCAAGUAGCCAUGAAUACAAGUAUGCAACACCAUGCCCAGCUAAUUAAUAUUUUUUUUUUUUUGGUAGAAACUAGGUCUUGUUAUGUCGCCAAGGCUGGUCUCCUACUCCUGGUCUCAAGUGAUCCUCCCACCUCUGCCUCCCAAUGCACUGGAGUUACAGGCAUGAGCCACUGUGCUCAGCCUGUAAUUGUUUUAGGACUGUACAAAUCAUGCCCAUAUAAGAUGAAUCUCUUAUACCUGACAGAAGUCAUGCCAGUUAGAGAUACUUGUGCAAGGCUUGGAUAACAAAAGUGAAACAGAAACUCCUCCUUGUUUAUGGCAGCUGAUACACAAAUCCCCAAAAUGAAAGCAUUUACAGCAGCUAGAAGAUCUGUUCCUCAGGAGAGUCACGUGUGUGCUGGGUGUGAGGCAGUCUGGACAAUGGUUGCAAUGGAGCAAUAACAAGAGGGGCCCCUGACAUCCAGAUGGCAAGCCCAGAGAUCAGAUCUUGAAACAUAUAUUCAGUAUUUGCUCCUUUAUUUCUGAUCCUGUCCUUCAAAAUACUUUAAACUUUAUUGUAUUUAAUUCCCUAUAGCUUAAAAUACAGAGGAUGGUUUUUGUUUGUAUUAAACCUUUACUGACAAAACCACCAUUCUUAUCAUUGCAUUUAUAAAGUGCUAGACUGUACUUUCUUUAAGUAGCAUUUCUUUUUACAAUUAUAUAUAAACACUAUCAUGUAGUACAUGAACAGAAUUAAAUAAAAUGCAAAUUAUUGUUUGACAGAAUUGAGGAGUUAUUUGAUAUUAUGUAAAAAAACAAAAAAGAUUUAUCAAAGUGGAAUUUGUGAAUUUUUUUUAUGUGAGUUUCAACUAGGUUGUGUCUGAAUCAUUUAAGAUCAGCUUCACACUAAUCUGGCUUAGGAAAUGGUAACCAUAACAAAAAUAGCAAACAACUAGUGCAAAUCUUUACAUUUGAAAAGCAAUUUGCCUUACAUUAUUAAACUUAAAUGUCAAAGUUAGAGACAGAAAAUACUAUUUGUGGUCACCAUUAAAUACUUUAAGCAGCUGGUUCUGAAAUUUUAAGAGGUAUGCUUAGUAAUGUGUGGCAUCACUAAUGGAUCAUCUUGGAAAUGUUCGGGGAUUUUAAGUUAAUUAUAAACAAUAAUGCUUUUACUCUCUGCAUUAGUCCAUUCGCAUGCUGCUAAUAAAGACAUACCUAGACUGGGUAAUUUAUAAAGGAAGGAGGUUUAAUAGACUCACAGUUCCACAUGGCUGGAGAGGCCUCACAAUCAUGGCAGAAGAUGAAGGAAGAGCAAAAAGACAUCCUACAUGGCAGCAGGCAAGAGAGCAUGUGCAGGGAAACUUCCCUUUAUAAAACCAUUGGAUCUCAUGAGACUUAUUCACUAUCAAGAGAACAGCAUGGGAAACUACUGACCCCAUGAUUCAAUUACAUCCCACUGGGUACCUCCCAUGGCAUUUGGAAAUUGUGGAGAGCUACAAUUCAAGAUAAGAUUUGAGUGGCAUCAGAGCCAAACCAUAUCACUCUUUUAAUGACUACUGGUAAAUCACACAUGCAAAGCACUUUUUUGUUGCUAUUAUGUGAUAUUUAACAAUUCCAAUUUUAUAAAUUUAUCCCUUGGGAAAGGUCCACAUAGGAAAAACAGAUUAAGUUGAUUUUCAAAUAGAACUGACCAAAAACAAAAUGCAAUUGUUUAACAAAAACAAUAAAAUAAAAUGCAUUACUAAGUCAAUGAAAUAUAUAAACAUUCAUUUUGUAAAAAUAAAAGUAAGCACUUUUGUUUUAGCUAACUGUCUAUUUUUUGUUUUUAUUUAUCCUCAGUUGUCCAGCAUUUUUCCUCAAAAGUAAACUCAUUUUGUGUGUGCUGACAUACAUUAUAUAGCCUAAAUUUCCUUGGUAUAAGAGUACAUUCGCUUGUUUUCCAAUAUUCUGAAAUAUAUUUGCUAUUCUAAGGAAAUGUUAAUUGGGCAUUGAACAAUAGUAAGUUUGUGGAACUUUCUAAGACAAAUAAGUUUGUGUUAAAAAGCUUGUGGGAGAAAAAUUUAAAAGGUCCUAUGAAUAAACUGGACAACAAGAAGCAAAGAGAUUAUCAAAUAAUCUAUCACAUUGAAUCAAUGCAGUGUUAGUCCCAUAAUUUGAAUAGGAAAUGACGUAUUAUGUGUAUAAUAAUAAUUAUAAUGUAAUGAAUUUCUCUCUGCAAUUCUCUCCCUCUGAGAUGAGUCAAUGGACUUUUUUUUACAUAAUGAAAUCUUUAUAUCUUUUCAGUAUUGGAGUACAAAGUAAAUAAAUAAUAAAAAGUGAAUAGCCAUGUGGCACAUAAGUGAGCAACAGUAGAAAAGCAUAUGUAUCAAACUUUUAGUAACAUGGGUUUAGAUAAUCUUUUAAAAAAUUUAGCUCAAAUGAAAUAGGAAGAAAUGUAAAGUAAUUACUUUAAAUAUCAUAUGUAAUUACAGUUGACCCUUGAACAACAUGAGUUUGUUCUCUUAGGUCCAUUUAUAUGUUUAUUUUUUUUAAACAAUAAAUGAUACACUGAGUGUGCCUGCCUCUCCUGCCUCCCCUUCCACCUCUUCCACCUCUUCCAACUCUGCCACCCCUGGGACAGCCAGACCAACCCCUCUGCUUACUCCUAAGCCUGUUCAACAUGAAAACAAGAAUGAAGACUUUCAGGAUGAUUCACUUCCACUUAAUGAAAUACUAAUUAUACUUUAUCUUCCUUAUAAUUUUCUUAACAACAUUUUCUUUUCUCUAGCUUACUUUAUUGUAAGAAUACAGUAUGUAAUACAUAUAACAUGCAAAAUACGUGUUAAUAAACUGUUUAUGUUAUUGAUAAGUCUUCCAGUUAAUAGUAGGCUAUUAGUAGUUCAGUUUUGGGGAAGUCAAAAGUAAUACCUGAAUUUUCUGCUGGAUAGGGGAUCAGAACCCCUAUUCCUAUGUUGUUCAAGGUCAACUGUAC